CCUACGGGGGGCAGCAGUGGGGAAUAUUGCACAAUGGGGGAAACCCUGAUGCAGCGACGCCGCGUGAGUGAAGAAGUAUUUCGGUAUGUAAAGCUCUAUCAGCAGGGAAGAUAAUGACGGUACCUGACUAAGAAGCCCCGGCUAACUACGUGCCAGCAGCCGCGGUAAUACGUAGGGGGCAAGCGUUAUCCGGAUUUACUGGGUGUAAAGGGAGCGUAGGUGGCAGGGCAAGUCAGAUGUGAAAACCUAGGGCUCAACCGUAGGACUGCACCUGAAACUGUAAUGCUAGAGGGCAGGGGAGGAAA
rnacentral:rRNA from 1 species